UGGGGAAUAUUGCACAAUGGGCGCAAGCCUGAUGCAGCAACGCCGCGUGAACGAUGAAGGUCUUCGGAUCGUAAAGUUCUGUUGCAGGGGAAGAUAAUGACGGUACCCUGUGAGGAAGCCCCGGCUAACUACGUGCCAGCAGCCGCGGUAAUACGUAUGGGGCGAGCGUUAUCCGGAAUUAUUGGGCUUAAAGGGCAUCUAGGCGGUAAGACAAGUUGAAGGUGAAAACCUGUGGCUCAACCAUAGGCUUGCCUACAAAACUGUUGAACUAGAGUACUGGAAAGGUGGGUGGAACUACACGAGUAGAGGUGAAAUUCGUAGAUAUGUGUAGGAAUGCCGAUGAUGAAGAUAACUCACUGGACAGAAACUGACGCUGAAGUGCGAAAGCUAGGGGAGCAAACAGG
rnacentral:rRNA from 1 species